CAACCAACCUGGAUGAUCGCGCCAUAAUAUGGUGAGGAAAGUCCGGGCUCCAUAGGGCAGGAUGCUGGGUAACUCCCAGUGAGGGUGACCUCAAGGAUAGUGCCACAGAAAACAGGCCGCCUACUUUUUAGUAGGUAAGGGUGAAAAGGUGCGGUAAGAGCGCACCAGCAUCCGGGUGACCGGAUGGCUUGGUAAACCCCAUCUGGAGCAAGACCGAAUAGGAGGGAAAAAGGUGGCCCGCCUCUCCCUCGGGUUAGGUCGCUAGAAUCUGUAGGUAACUGCAGAUCAAGAUAGAUGAUCAUCGCCCGCAAGGGUACAGAACCCGGCUUAUAGGGUUGGUUGUCAA
rnacentral:RNase_P_RNA from 1 species